rfam:Felis catus isolate Cinnamon breed Abyssinian chromosome C1, whole genome shotgun sequence.
GCCUGGCUGGUUCAGUAGGUAGAGCAUGAGACUUUUGAUCUUAGGGUUGUGGGUUCAAGACCCACAUUGGGUG